rnacentral:lncRNA from 1 species
GCUCACCAACACUCAGUCCCGCCCCUUUUCUUCCACUGUCAUCGGAGAAACCUGACAUCCCGAGUCUGGUCCUCAGUCUUUUGUAUAAUGACCCAAACCAGCUUUCUCGAUGCAUUUCCCAUGUUCUCAGCAAGCAGGGUUUCUUCCUCUCUCUAAAAAUAUGCUUUCCCCACAGAGAACAGAGAGGGUGUUGUGGCGCCGUCGUGGAGAUGCUGGGACGGCCGAGGCAGAAGUGGGCGGACGCAAACAGCCAUGUCUUUGAAGUCUCCCGUGAGGUCUCAAGUGUUCAUUGUGUUGACCACCCAGCUUGGAAUAAGGAUGUUGACAAAAAUAAACCAUGUGAUUCUCCUGCCACAUCACUUUCUCUCCCUAGUUAAGGUAACAGUCAUCCUUAAUACUGUGUUCAUGCUAGUUUUUUUAUUUAAAUACUACAGUUUAACAUUUGACAAGGAAUAGCACAAAUCACAUUUUAUGACACUCUAAAAAUAGUUCUACAUCUUCCAUGAGGAACUUGCAGUCAAAUAAGAAAACUAUGUCAUUUGCCAUCUAGAACUUGGGUGACUGGCCA